rnacentral:rRNA from 1 species
GGGGUCACGCCCCGGGUGCGUAAAAGCCCCGGAACCAGGCGCCCGCCGGAGGAACCAACCAAACUCUUUCUGUAGUCCCCUCGCGGACGUAUUUCUUACAGCUCUGAGCAAAAAUUCAAAAUGAAUCAAAACUUUCAACAACGGAUCUCUUGGUUCUGGCAUCGAUGAAGAACGCAGCGAAAUGCGAUAAGUAAUGUGAAUUGCAGAAUUCAGUGAAUCAUCGAAUCUUUGAACGCACAUUGCGCCCGCCAGUAUUCUGGCGGGCAUGCCUGUCCGAGCGUCAUUUCAACCCUCGAACCCCUCCGGGGGAUCGGCGUUGGGGAUCGGGACCCCUCACCGGGUGCCGGCCCUGAAAUACAGUGGCGGUCUCGCCGCAGCCUCUCCUGCGCAGUAGUUUGCACAACUCGCACCGGGAGCGCGGCGCGUCCACGUCCGUAAAACACCCAACUUCUGAAAUGUUGACCUCGGAUCAGGUAGGAAUACCCGCUGAACUUAAGCAUAUCAAUA